AGUGUGGGUGAUGAAAAAGAGACCUUAGGUUUGUCAUUUUUGAGCCGUUUUGGAUCAAAGUUCUUGACUUACCAAUGCCAGGACAUGUCAUAGUUACUCUGACACGCU